rnacentral:rRNA from 1 species
GACGAACGCUGGCGGCGUGCUUAACACAUGCAAGUCGAACGAUGAAGUUCCUUCGGGAAUGGAUUAGUGGCGAACGGGUGAGAAACACGUGAGAAACCUGCCUUUCAUUUUGGGAUAACUCCGGGAAACCGGAGCUAACACCGAAUACUCCGUCUCGGCGGCAUCGCUGAGCCGGGAAAAAAUUUUGAUGAAAGAUGGUCUCGCGGCCUAUCAGCUAGUUGGUGAGGUAAUGGCUCACCAAGGCGACGACGGGUAGCCGGCCUGAGAGGGCGACCGGCCACACUGGGACUGGGAAACGGCCCAGACUCCUACGGGAGGCAGCAGUGGGGAAUAUCGGGCAAUGGGCGCAAGCCUGACCCAGCGACGCCGCGUGAGGGAUGAAGGCCUUCGGGUUGUAAACCUCUUUCAGUAGGGAAGAAGCGAAAGUGACGGUACCUAAAGAAGAAGCACCGGCUAACUAUGUGCCAGCAGCCGCCGUAA